rnacentral:rRNA from 1 species
CAGCCGCCGCGGUAAAACGGAGGGGGCUAGCGUUGUUCGGAAUUACUGGGCGUAAAGCGCACGUAGGCGGCUUUGUAAGUUAGAGGUGAAAGCCCGGAGCUCAACUCCGGAAUUGCCUUUAAGACUGCAGAGCUAGCAGGUGAGAGAGGUGAGUGGAAUUCCGAGUGUAGAGGUGAAAUUCGUAGAUAUUCGGAAGAACACCAGUGGCGAAGGCGGCUCACUGGCUCAUACUGGACGCUGAGGUGCGAAAGCGUGGGGAGCAAACAGGAUUAGAUACCCGCGUAGUCCCUGUCUCUUAUAC